CGUGCUAGAUGGGGAGCUGGCGGUGCCCUGAACCCGCAAUCCGCCAUAGCGGGAUUAAAUCCCCCUCCUAGAACGAAACUUGAGGCCUCUGUAACGAUUCGGACAUCGAAGAUAGUUCAGACCCGUGCAACGACAAACCGUGAAUUCCGCCAGGACCGGAAGGUAGCAACGGUAAGCGAUAAAAUCGUGUGCCGCGGACCACUGGACUGGAGUUGAAAGAACGAAGCAUGUUUUCAAGAUUCGUGCAAAGAGGGGUGCACG
rnacentral:SRP_RNA from 1 species